rnacentral:rRNA from 1 species
UACGGAGGGAGCUAGCGUUAUUCGGAAUUACUGGGCGUAAAGCGCACGUAGGCGGCUUUGUAAGUAAGAGGUGAAAGCCCAGAGCUCAACUCUGGAAUUGCCUUUUAGACUGCAUCGCUUGAAUCAUGGAGAGGUCAGUGGAAUUCCGAGUGUAGAGGUGAAAUUCGUAGAUAUUGGGAAGAACACCGGUGGCGAAGGCGGCAUCCUGGACCGACAUUGACGCUGAACGGCGAAAGCUAGGGGAGCAAACGGG